GACGAACGCUGGCGGCGUGCUUAACACAUGCAAGUCGAGCGGUAAGGCCCUUUCGGGGGUACACGAGCGGCGAACGGGUGAGUAACACGUGGGUGACCUGCCCUCAGCUCUGGGAUAAGCCUGGGAAACCGGGUCUAAUACUGGAUAUGACUCCAUGACGCAUGUUGUGGGGUGGAAAGCCUUGUGCGGCUGAGGAUGGGCCCGCGGCCUAUCAGCUUGUUGGUGGGGUGAGGCCUACCAAGGCGACGACGGGUAGCCGGCCUGAGAGGGCGACCGGCCACACUGGGACUGAGACACGGCCCAGACUCCUACGGGAGGCAGCAGUGGGGAAUCUUGCGCAAUGGGCGAAAGCCUGACGCAGCGACGCCGCGUGAGGGAUGACGG
rnacentral:rRNA from 1 species